UACGUAGGGUGCGAGCGUUGCCCGGAUUUAUUGGGCGUAAAGGGCGCGCAGGCGGUCACGCACGUCCGUUGUGAAAUCGCUCGGCUCAACUGGGCGGGGUCAGCGGAUACGGCGCGACUGGAGCAAGCUAGGGGGCAAUGGAAUUCCCGGUGUAGUGGUGGAAUGCGUAGAGAUCGGAAAGAACACCAACGGCGAAAGCACUCUGCUGGGCCGACACUGACACUGAGAGACGAAAGCUAGGGGAGCGAAUGGG
rnacentral:rRNA from 1 species